rnacentral:tRNA from 2 species
GGCCAGGUAGCUCAGUUGGUAGAGCAGCGGACUGAAAAUCCGCGUGUCGGGGGUUCAAUUCCCUCCCUGGCCACCA